UGCAGGCAAGCGCGAGGAUAACCCUAGGCCAUGUGCAUUCAUGGCAGCCCGAAUGGGUGGGAUCCUAGGUCUCGGGGCCUGCUCUUUC
rnacentral:ncRNA from 1 species